UUCAUCAAAGCAUAGAGUGCAAUGACCCCUGUGCAUGCAGAGCCUGUGUGUGUCCCCUGCCGGUCUGCGAAAUGAUAGAAGCAGACUUUCAGUUACGCAAGAUGGCUUCAGCAGCAGAAGUCUGUUCAGCAAUGAGCCUGGUUCUACUCAAGGUUCCGGCCUAUUACAAAGGAAAUUUUUCCAAACCCACUGUUGCAAAGUGUUGCCAUGGACAUUCUGGAGCUGUUCUUUUUAUAAAGCCCGCUGAGAUAUCUUCUGUAUUGAUUUUGAACUAUAUAAAUAAAGAUUGAUUGAAUUUUC